rnacentral:rRNA from 1 species
GUGGCGAACGGGUGAGUAACACGUGGGUAAUCUGCCCUGUACUCUGGGAUAAGCCUGGGAAACUGGGUCUAAUACCGGAUAUGACCUUUCACCGCAUGGUGGGGGGUGGAAAGUUCCGGCGGUAUGGGAUGAACCCGCGGCCUAUCAGCUUGUUGGUGGGGUAAUGGCCUACCAAGGCGACGACGGGUAGCCGGCCUGAGAGGGUGACCGGCCACACUGGGACUGAGACACGGCCCAGACUCCUACGGGAGGCAGCAGUGGGGAAUAUUGCACAAUGGGCGCAAGCCUGAUGCAGCGACGCCGCGUGAGGGAUGACGGCCUUCGGGUUGUAAACCUCUUUCGCCAGGGACGAAGCGCGAGUGACGGUACCUGGAUAAGAAGCACCGGCUAACUACGUGCCAGCAGCCGCGGUAAUACGUAGGGUGCGAGCGUUGUCCGGAAUUAUUGGGCGUAAAGAGCUCGUAGGUGGUUGGUCACGUCUGCUGUGGAAACGCAACGCUUAACGUUGCGCGUGCAGUGGGUACGGGCUGACUAGAGUGCAGUAGGGGAGACUGGAAUUCCUGGUGUAGCGGUGAAAUGCGCAGAUAUCAGGAGGAACACCGGUGGCGAAGGCGGGUCUCUGGGCCGAUACUGACGCUGAGGAGCGAAAGC